UACGUAGGGCGCGAGCGUUGUCCGGAUUUAUUGGGCGUAAAGAGCUCGUAGGCGGCUUGUUGCGUCGACUGUGAAAACCCGCGGCUUAACUGCGGGCUUGCAGUUGAUACGGGCAGGCUAGAGUUCGGUAGGGGAGACUGGAAUUCCUGGUGUAGCGGUGAAAUGCGCAGAUAUCAAGGAGGAACACCGGUGGCGAAGGCGGUUCUCUGGGCCUUACCUGACGCUGGAGGAGCGAAAGCGUGGGGAGCGAACAGGA
rnacentral:rRNA from 1 species